rnacentral:sRNA from 1 species
AAUACGAGCAAGUCUUGUUCUACAUUGCGCGCUGGUGGUGAGUGGUGACACCGAGUAUCUGUAAUGGAUCAAGAGCAACAUUAAAAUAAACCGAUCGAUUUGGUCUACAUAUUGCUAUAUUCCGUGAAGAAUGUGUUUUCAUAGGAGAUUUAGAUAAUGAUUUCAUUGUAAUUUUAGCUUUUCCGUUGCAAUGCAGUCACCUGUGCUAGCGAUGGUAAAAUAUUCAAACAUCAGUACUAAGAUGUCGAUGUAAUUUUAAAAAACCUAAACGCCGUGAAGCUGAUGCUCAGCUGCUGCGGUAGUGGUAGUUUCAUGAUGAGGUUGAAGUAAUAGAUUUGUGAAUUCUCCUCGAAAUGGUGGAACGAACAUCAUUGAAAUGUCUCCAAAUGGCAUCACAGUAUUUGAAUAAAGUUGUUCCUGAACCUAUUCAUAUUAUAGAAGGUAGACAGUAUAGAGUGUAGCAUUGAACGCGAUGAAGUUGCCAAUGAUUUCAUACCACAUCAGCUUCCCCUGGCGCUUGUCCCCUUCUUCCAUAAUCUGUUCAAGUAUGCGCCUUGCAGGCAGAGGGAAAAUGAAAAAAAAAAGCCAUGAGACGCAAGCUCUAGAGUUAAACAUGCAUGUUGGCAAAUUAAAAGGAGAAAAAUGAUUAUUAGAUAUUAAUGCUGAACUAGAACCAUGAAUCAGCGCCAUACCUGCCCUCUCCAGGAACUGGAGUGCCAUCUUGGGCAGUAGCAGUGCUGCUAAGCUUACCCUUAGCCUAUAUAUAUAAGGCAAGAGAGACAGAGAGAGUCAGAUGGUGGUGCAAUGUCAAACACAAACCAAUUACUACGAAUAAUUAAUAAACUCAGAUGGAAGAGACUAUAUACAGGUACAGGUAAAUAACUGAGGUUUGCAUCUAACAUAAGUUAGAGUCACUGGUUUGAUCAUAAUAGAGCUGAAGAAAAUAAGCCCAGCGCGGCGAGUAUCAUAUGAGGACAGUAAAUGCUAGUACUUGUUAUUGGUAGAUAAUACUGAUAAAAAACAGCUCGAUCUGUUCAUCUCGAAGGGGAAAAAAAACAGAGAUCGGGGUUUGUUCAUCUCAGGGGAAAUAAAAGAUUUUGAGUUAAAUUAGGUCAACCAACACAGAGACAACAAAACACACAAGGUACUAUAGGAUAAUUUGAAUGAACGAAAUUAAGGGUCCAAAGGUUCAUUAGGGGUAAUAACACUAAUCUAAUCGGAGAGGUGAAUCGCUAGAACAUGUGCGUGCAAACCGCGAGAUACAAGAGAAGGUGGUGAUUGAACGGGCCAAUUAUCAUCGCACAUCAUCAGAAAGAAGGGAUUGAUUAGGUUAAUAGCGAGGGGAACGAAGCGAACCUGAGGGGCGGUGGAUGAAGAGCGAAACGGCGGGAGAGUCCGGCGGGAAGCGGCCGCCG